GUGGAUUUUAUCGUCACAUGACGGAUAGUAUCAUUUUCUUAAAAUAGCCGUUUAUUUGAGCCGUAUAUAGCCAGUUACAGGGCGUAGCAUUAACUAUACAACAGGAUCGCCGAAUCUACCAGAACAGAUAAAAGAAACCUUACGAUGUACCGCCCAGCCCAACCUGGAGUGAACGUCACAGUUCAUCAUCCGCCUCCUCCUGGGUACCCCGCUCCAAACACGGGGUACCCUGCGUACCCGCCACAGCAGCCGCCGUACCAACCACAGCCAUAUCCGGUGCCACAAGCGUACCCCCAGCCUCCUGUCACAUAUCCUGCCCAGCCCCCAGUUGUGUAUCCCGCCGGUUACGCCCAACCUCAACCCCCCGUCUUCGUUCCAGGACCCCCACCUCCCAGGAUUGAUGUUCAUUUCGGUCGUGGGCUAAGGUUUGGACCUUUUCACCAUCACCACCAUCACGGGCGCCAUCAUCAUCAUUGGUAACCGGAAGAGCACGCACCUGUUCCGUUGUGUUAUCGUUCCAGUAAAACAAACGUAUAAAAAAAUGUUUAUAUACUUAUUAUAACAGAACUCGGGGAAAUGAUGGUAAAGCAAGCGGAAGCGGAUGCCGUUCCUGACUGUAUGCAGCUGCUAUGUACAUUAUAACUUGUUAACCAACCCCUGAUAAUCUGAAAGCCUAGCUGUGUGAACAAAUCUCAACAAUGACAACUGUAUUAACUUGUGUAUAUUGUUCAUUCUCUGGACAAUCAUAAACUGUUUUUAUCUACAUACAAAAUCAAUUCGGACCUUGCUCGCGGGUUGGAUUGUUGAUGGUUGAUCUAUCCUGUAUCACGCACACGGGUCGGAAUACACGAUACUCAAAGUCCGGUUCAUCAGUUAUAAAU